rnacentral:lncRNA from 1 species
UUGAGGUCUCUCUUGGGCAAGCUUUCCCCAGUGUAAUUGUCAGCCGACUUCCUGGUGUCUGGAGAUGUAGAACUCUCAGCUCCUCCAGCACCACGUCUGUCUGCACACCGCCAUGCUCCCUGUCAUGAUGGUAAUGGACCGGACCUCUGAAACUGUAAGCAAACCACCCCGAUUAAAUGUUUUCUUUAUAGGAGUCGCUGUGGUCAUGGUGUCUCUUCACAGCAACAAAAACCCCCAGCUAAGACAGUCCCCUUUGCUGUGGCUCAGAGUGACAGAAAACAGAUGAAGGUAAAUCCAGGAAACUGACAUUUUCUCAGGGAUAUUUAUCAACUAGUUUGGCUCACUCUGGGAUGAAUGCUUGACUCCUACAGGUCUGCCCUUCUCAUUAAUUUUUCCUAUAGCCACCUCCUUCAUGCUGAACUUUACGAUGAUAUCAAGACCAUCUAUGGAGAUUCGUUGGGCUUACAUCAAAAAUAGAGUCUUGUAGUGCAGCAGGCAAACCAGAAUCGAUAAAUGAUUGACACACGGGCACCACUCACAGGGAGGUGGUACUGCCUCUGGGCUGGUGUUCCUGGGGCAGACACAGCCCAGGAGUCCACUGCUUCCCCUGCAAUGGCCCUGUUUGUACUGUCGGCUCCGAUCCACCCAUCCUUCUGCUAGUGCGACCCCUAAAAGAGCCUCUUUGUCCAGUGAGUGUGCCUUCCACGACUCUGCCAGGCGCUGUACACGGCUGCAGCCGCUUCCUUGAGCUGAGGGCUCUGGUUGCUUCCACAGCUCUUUUUUCAGUCGAGACCCUAGAAAAUUGAGCCUCUGGGCUGUGGAUGUGGCAGAGACAGAAGCGAUGCCUCCCCCGGGGAUCCCAUCUGCAAAUUCUCCUCCACACACAGACACAGGACAGGACAGCCAAGCAGUUUGGGCACCCUGGGGAGCUCUGAGUCAUGAUGAGUGUUGUACAGCCUCUGAGGCUGGGCAAAGAGGGAAACCAUACCCAGUGAAACUCUGGAAGGAUCAGACUUGAGGUCCAAGGGCCUUGUCACACAAGCAACAGGAAAUAAAGGUAAGAAGUCAGUGUUGAGAGACCAAGUCAAAAAAACAGCCCCUCUGUCCCUGAAGACGAGCACGGAUGGCCAUGCUGACUCGGCGCGAGGAAAUUGUCAGAUGUUCCCUGUUGUGCUGCAGCACGCUGGCCAGCUGCCCGGAUUCAGCAGAGUCUGUUUGAAAAGCUCUGCCUUGGAAGAUUGAAAAUAUAUAUAAAGAAAAGCUAAGAAGUGGUCAACGUGUUGUUUGGCUACAGGGGACUUGCAGAUUCAUUGCAGCGCUACUGAGAACAGAGCAGUGCCGGAGCAGAGGCCAGGCCCAGCAGACUCAGAGGCAUCCAUCUAAGCCAUUUGGAAGAACUGGGGGUCACAUCUGGCUGCCACCCUGCAGGAGCUGAAGGCAGUAGCAGUCUUGCCGAGGGUGGAGUCCAGGCAAGGGUCUUUCUCUGUCUCUCCCAAAGCACUAAAGGGGGCUUGGUUCGGCUCUGCAGUGUUAGAGUGAGGAAGCCAGGUCCAUGAUGUCAGGAUCUGAAAAGUGCUGAAGGAAACUCAAAUGUGGAUCCUACAGCAAACCAGGUUCACGUCAAAGGAGACCAAUGCCAACACGGAAACGCGCCUUCUGCAUCCAUGCAGUGCUGAGGGGAAUUCCCUAGCUGCCCCUUCCUGAAGCCGUGUUUCAGGAAGCCCUGACUCCCUCUUCCUGGAUGUCUGAUAAUGGUCAAUGUAUCACACUGCCCUGUGUCCUCCAGGGCACGCUCCAGCACUCCAGACACACCUGCAACGUCAGAUACCACCAACAGUGUCGCUUUAUCUAGAUCACAUUGUUUUUACAACAACACUACUGAAUGUAUCAUAGCUGGUGAGAAUCAAAUAUAAAUGAUAUAACAUGUUGUUAAUCAUUCAUCUUCACUAGUGCACAGUGAAGAUUCCUUUAUUCCUCAAGCACAGGAGGAGAUGAAGAAUAGUAAGUAAUAAAAUGGUAGUAAUAGCUAUGCAAUCUUACUGUGAUAAAAGUUUAAAACAUUUGAGUUAUUUACUUCUGGAGUUUUCCACCUAAUAAUUUUGGGCUGCAAUUGACCAGAACUUACUGAAACCAUGGAAAAUGAAAAUAGAAGGUCCUUGGAACUAAAUGAGUGUUGCACUAGCAUCCAGAGAAGGAUAAGAAAAGAGAUUGUAAGAUUGCUAAAGCUCAAACCAAAUUUUGUUUCCUUUCAUCUUCAUUAAUACAUAUUCAUAAUAACAGACAAUUAAUGGGGAAUAUUCUUCUGUGCAUAUGUUUGUCUUAUUGGUUGAUGAAUAAAACACUGAUUGGCCACGUACAAUGAUAGAUAGGACUAGGAGACAAGGAGGAUUCUGGGAAGUGUAGGCAGAGAGGAGUCGUCAUAUGAUACCAGGAAGUGACAUAGCUGGGCAGAAACUGCCAUUAGCUAACCAUAGAGGUCUGAAGGUCUGUACAGACAGGCAGGAAAUGACGUAGCUGGGAAAAUCAGAAUAUAAGCAGAGACAAACAGGAAAUCGCUCUCUUCUCGGUAGAGAUGCUGUACAGUCAUGAUGUAGCAGUCAAAGGAGUUGCAGGUCCGGCAUUUCCUGGUAAGACAAGACCAUGUGGAAAUACACAGAUUAGUAGUUAUGGAUUAAUAAUUAAGACAGAGCUAGCCAAUAAGAAGCCAUAACAAACGGCCAAGAGCUUUAUAAUUAAUAUAACGUCUGCAUGUUCAUUUGGGGGCAGAGAAAGACAUCGGGACCUGCCGGGCCAGAAAACUCACUCUGCAGACAAUAAUAUACUUAUCUAUGCACUAGUGAAGAUGAAUAAUUAACAUUUUAUAUUAUUUACAUUUGAUUCUCAUUAACUAUGAACAUUCAGUAGUGUUGUUGCAAAAAUUAGAUGAGUGAAUAUUGAAUCAUGGCUCCAAGGAGAGAGAUGGCACCAGAGGCAGACAUAGGGUUGUCCCUGGGAGCCUCUGGUGUAUAUGUCCAUGAACAGGCUGUGGUAUGGCUAUCUUAGUCACUGUCCUAUUGCUAUGAAGAGAAAACACAACCAAAGCAACCUACAAAACAAAACGUUUAACUGGAGGCUUGCUUACAACUCAGAUGAUAAGACAGAGAGACUAGCCUUUGUGUGACCUUUUGAAACCUCAAAGCCCACUCCCCCAUCCAAGUGACACACCUUCUUCAUCAAGGCCACACCUCCUAAUCCUUCCCAAAACAGUUCUGCCAACUGGAAAGCAAGCCUUCAAACAUGUGAGACAUUUUCAUUCACACAAUGAAAGUGCCACAGUGUCUCUCUAUGGCUUAUAAAUGCCCUACACAGACAAUCUCAGCCUAUUCUGACAUUGAAACCUACAGACCUAAUUCAUUUCCUUGAAGCAUCAACUCAGCAAUCCCAAGGUGUUCAGGCACCUGCACUGGAAAGAAAUUCUGCAUCCUAUUCCAGGACAGUCAUUUAGACAAGUCUGGUCAUGCUCCUUCUUGGUAAAACAGAGCAUGGCAACAGGAUAUAAUCAAAAUCCUUGUCAUAUUAUACCCUGUCCCAUAAAUGCGAUUGUGACGAUGUGUGUGUGACUUCUCUUAUCACUGGCUUCCAUGUAAUUAGCACUGAGAUAAUGCACCAUUUUCAUGUCUUUGGCCCCUGCAAAUAUUAAUAGUUUUGCCAAGUAAGAGAAGCCUUAAUUUGUUUUUCUGACAGCUUGUGAGACAACUUGGACACCAUCUCCAUCUUUGUUUACUGCAAAGGCAAUGAGAUUUUAGCUUCAUGCUUUCACUCGCACACGCCUCUGCUAAGACCACGGAUAAGGUUUUGGCAAUGUAUUCACAUGUCCUUUCAUAAAACCUCUAUAGGAUCAAGGUCCCUUGUUUUUUGUUUUCUCCAUUAAGAGGCCAUGCGAAUCGCACCAUUGGCAGAGUUCUCCAAACUGGGAUCAGUCCCCAGACACCACUCUUGUGAUGCUUUCCAUGAUGUCCCAGGAGGGAAGUCCCUAAGGUCCCCAAGUGCUUUCUCCUCCCAGAUAAUAUCUAACAUGCUGCCCUCUGGCUCACAAUAAGACUCUCUACAACUUCUCAACAGUAGGUGUGAUGGUUGACCAUCAAAUUGACCAGGUUGAGAUUUGUGAAGGUGUGUCCAGGAGGACUGAUGGGGAGUAUUCUUCUGUGUAUAUAUCUUACUGGUUGUUAAAUAAAGCACUGUUAGCCAAUAGGAAGCAAGAUAGGUAGGACUAGGAGUCAAGGAGAAUUCUGGGAAAUGUAGUAAAGAGAAGUCACCAUGUGAUCCAGGCAGGAAGUGACACAGCAGGCAGAAUCAGAAUAUAAGCAGGGACAAGCAGGAAAUCACUCUCUGCUCUUCUCUGCAGAGACACUGAGCAGACGCCAUGUAGACCCCAAUGGAGUAAGAGGCCCAGAACUUAACUCCAGUAAGAUAAGGCCACAUAGAAAUACCUACAUUAUUAGAAAUGGAUUAAUAAUUAUGACUGAGCUAGCAACCUUAGCCAAAGGCCAACAGUAUUUAUAACUAAUAUAGCGUCUGCAUGUUUUGGGGGCAGAGAAGGGCAGCAGAAAGCCUCGAGUUACAGAGGACAUUUUCAGAAACAGUUGAUAGUUGGGGCCCUGGCCUAAUGAGUCCAUUAACCCACUGAUGGAUUCAAUAUUUGAAUAGGUAAAAAAAAAAAAAAAAAACACGAGAGUUGGUGGGACUGUGGAUGAUGAGCUGUGGCUGAAGGGAGUAGGUCUCUGGGGGCAUGUCACUGAAUAGUUAUACCUUGCCACCUUGCCCUGGCUCCUGUCUAUAUUGCCCCUUGCGGCUCCUGUCUGCCAUGAAGUGAACGGCCUUCUCUUUGCAUUCUGCUGCCACAAUAUUCUGUCCCACUAUGGAGGCAGAAUCAAGAGAGCAAGAGAAGCCAGGGCCAUGGGUGGAAAUCUCUGAAACCACGAGCCAAAACACAUCAUUCCUCUAAGUUGUUCUGCCAGGCGUUUGUCACAGUGGCAAGAAAAGUAAUUAGUGCAACAGAGCUUCAAGAAACAUUCGUUAAAUGUGUAUUGCUGAUGGAGAUGCAAGCAGAGGCUGUGUGCAUUCUCUUGCCAAUUAUUACUUCAGACCUCACCUGAAAGAUCCUUCUAACGGCUCACGGCUCAAGGCAUCCUAACAGGUGAGGGGAGAACCAGGGCGCUGAGCAGCAGCAGGGGAGACAUUUCUGGAAGAAACAUGAAGUGACAUCAUCAAAGACAUGGAAGCCCGGCAGAAACACUCUGGGAGCUAAAUAUAGAAGGAGCCAGCAACACAGACCCAUAAUCCAAGAGAGUUUGUUCCUUGGUGGUGGCUUGGUUCUACUUCAUAAUAAAGAGAAAGUGAAGGAGAUCUAUAGAGUUGGGCAUUUAGUUAAAAUUGGGCAGACAAAAUUACAAGCACCAGUUAAUCCCAUACCGCUGUUCCCUGUCUCUAUGGGAAAGUCUCACACUGUCAGCUGUGACAAAUCUUUUAGAGCCAGUUCCAUCAUGACCUCUCUGUGAGGUCAUUCUGGGGUUGCCCUGCCGGAUGCUCCGGAUUUCACUUCUCCCUCAGCUCUGCAACCAAAACCACAAACAUCACUGCAAAUGUCUGCUGUUUUAUUUAUUUGGACAUUAGGGCCAUUACUGAACUAUGCACACACAAACUAUCCUAUUUUUAUCCCUAACAUUCCCACGCUUAACUGAUUGAAACUGUGGAGUUUUGAAUUUCAGGGCAUCUUUUUAUCCUGUGCACCCCAAAUUGUUCUGGAAAAAUGUGAAAUUGUUCUGCUGCGAGAGGCAAGGUGGUAGACAAAAUCGGGAGGCAGACCCAAAACACAUUUGAAAGCGCUCCCCAGGGGAAAGAAUGUCACAUUGAAAACAGACACCUAGAUCCUCUGGGGCUGUGGGUUGAAGGCUGGAGGACCCUAAGAGAGACAUACAUGGACUCCCUGAGCAGGGGAAAGGGACAAGAUCUCCU